CCUACGGGAGGCAGCAGUGAGGAAUAUUGGUCAAUGGCCGUGAGCCUGAACCAGCCAAGUAGCGUGAAGGAAGACGGCCCUAUGGGUUGUAAACCUCUUUUGUUCGGGGGUAAAUGUGUCCACGUGUGGGUGUUUGCAGGUACCGCAUGAAUAAGGCCCGGCUAAAUCCGGGCCAGCCGCCGCGGGAAUACGGAAGGUCCGGGCGUUAUCCGGAUUUUUUGGGGUUAAAGGGGUCGGAGGGCGGUAUUUAAGCGUAGCGGGAAAUUUUGGGGCUCAACCAUGGUAGUGCGGUGGGAACUGGAGUUCUUGAGUGGGCGGAAGGUAGGCGGAAGGCGUGGUGUAGCGGUGAAAUGCAUAGAUAUCACGAAGAACUCCGAUUGCGAAGGCAGCAUGCCGGAGCGUUACUGACGCUGAAGCUCGAAAGCGCGGGUAUCGAACAGGAUUAGAUACCCGUGUAGUC
rnacentral:rRNA from 1 species